rnacentral:lncRNA from 1 species
AUGCCUCUCGCAAAGGAUCUCCUUCAUCCCUCUCCAGAAGAGGAGAAGAGGAAACACAAGAAGAAAGGCCUGGUGCAGAGCCCCAAUUCCUACUUCAUGGAUGUGAAAUGCCCAGGAUGCUAUAAAAUCACCACGGUCUUUAGCCAUGCACAAACGGUAGUUUUGUGUGUUGGCUGCUCCACUGUCCUCUGCCAGCCUACAGGAGGAAAAGCAAGGCUUACAGAAGGAUGUUCCUUCAGGAGGAAGCAGCACUAA